rfam:Beta vulgaris subsp. vulgaris 0533.scaffold01098.con0005.1, whole genome shotgun sequence.
GGAUGCGAUCAUACCAGCACUAUAGCAUCGGAUCCCAUCUGAACUCCGCAGUUCAGCGUGCUAGGGCGAGAGUAAUACUAGGUUAGAUGACCUAUUAUGAAGUACUUGUGUUGCACCCC